UACGUAGGGGGCUAGCGUUGUCCGGAAUCAUUGGGCGUAAAGCGCGUGUAGGCGGUCCGGUAAGUCCGCUGUGAAAGUCGAGGGCUCAACCUCGAAUGCCGGUGGAUACUGUCGGGCUUGAGUACGGGGGAGGCGAGUGGAAUUCCUGGUGUAGCGGUGAAAUGCGCAGAUAUCAGGAGGAACACCGAUUGCGAAGGCAGCUCGCUGGAACGUUACUGACGCUGAGACGCGAAAGCGUGGGGAGCAAACAGG
rnacentral:rRNA from 1 species